UGAUCAAGUAUAUUGCAAUUGUAGUCUACAAUUAAGGAGAAAAUUUCUUGUAAUGAACUAAUAUAAGUAAACCUCUUUAGUUCUCUUCUUUCAUGGGACUCCAAAACUAUUUCACUGCAUACCGUCACCUACAAAAUUUAAAUCCAAACAUAAAUCAUCUCAUGCAGCUUUGACCUUCUCCGGAGUUUUAGCAAGGUUGGCAAGGGUCCCAUGACCCACAAAGACUAGAAAAACUCCAA
rnacentral:misc_RNA from 1 species